GUGGGGAAUAUUCCGCAAUGGACGAAAGUCUGACGGAGCAACGCCGCGUGAGUGAUGAAGGUUUUCGGACUGUAAAGCUCUGUUGUUUAGGACGAAAGUGCCUGUUGCGAACAGUUACAGGUAUUGACGGUACUAAACGAGGAAGCCACGGCUAACUACGUGCCAGCAGCCGCGGUAAUACGUAGGUGGCAAGCGUUGUCCGGAAUUAUUGGGCGUAAAGAGCAUGUAGGCGGAGAUUUAAGUCUGUUGUGAAAAUGCGGGGCUCAACCCCGUAUUGCGAUGGAAACUGAAUUUCUUGAGUGCAGGAGAGGAAAGGGGAAUUCCCAGUGUAGCGGUGAAAUGCGUAGAUAUUGGGAGGAACACCAGUGGCGAAGGCGCCUUUCUGGACUGUGUCUGACGCUGAGAUGCGAAAGCCAGGGUAGCGAACGGGAUUAGAUACCCGAGUAGUCC
rnacentral:rRNA from 1 species